GUGGGGAAUAUUGGACAAUGGGCGAAAGCCUGAUCCAGCCAUGCCGCGUGUGUGAAGAAGGUCUUCGGAUUGUAAAGCACUUUAAGUUGGGAGGAAGGGCAGUAAGUUAAUACCUUGCUGUUUUGACGUUACCGACAGAAUAAGCACCGGCUAACUUCGUGCCAGCAGCCGCGGUAAUACGAAGGGUGCAAGCGUUAAUCGGAAUUACUGGGCGUAAAGCGCGUGUAGGUGGUUUUGUAAGUUGGAGGUGAAAUCCCCGGGCUCAACCUGGGAACUGCCUCCAAAACUGCAUGACUAGAGUACGGUAGAGGGUAGUGGAAUUUCCUGUGUAGCGGUGAAAUGCGUAGAUAUAGGAAGGAACACCAGUGGCGAAGGCGACUACCUGGACUGAUACUGACACUGAGGUGCGAAAGCGUGGGGAGCAAACAGGAUUAGAAACCCGGGUAGUCC
rnacentral:rRNA from 1 species